rnacentral:rRNA from 1 species
GAUGAACGCUGGCGGCGUGCUUAACACAUGCAAGUCGAACGGGAAAUAUUUCAUUGAGACUUCGGUGGAUUUGAUUUAUUUCUAGUGGCGGACGGGUGAGUAACGCGUGGGUAACCUGCCUUAUACAGGGGGAUAACAGUCAGAAAUGGCUGCUAAUACCGCAUAAGCGCACAGAGCUGCAUGGCUCAGUGUGAAAAACUCCGGUGGUAUAAGAUGGACCCGCGUUGGAUUAGCUAGUUGGUGGGGUAACGGCCCACCAAGGCGACGAUCCAUAGCCGGCAUGAGAGGGUGAACGGCCACAUUGGGACUGAGACACGGCCCAGACUCCUACGGGAGGCAGCAGUGGGGAAUAUUGCACAAUGGGGGAAACCCUGAUGCAGCGACGCCGCGUGAAGGAAGAAGUAUCUCGGUAUGUAAACUUCUAUCAGCAGGGAAGAUAGUGACGGUACCUGACUAAGAAGCCCCGGCUAACUACGUG